rnacentral:sRNA from 1 species
UGACACUGCGCAGGCCCUCGGGUUGGUU